GACGAACGCUGGCGGCGUGCUUAACACAUGCAAGUCGAACGAGUGGCGAACGGGUGAGGAACACGUGGGUGAUCUGCCUUGCACUUCGGGAUAAGCUUGGGAAACUGGGUCUAAUACCGGAUCGGGCAAGAUGAGCUCGCGGCCUAUCAGCUUGUUGGUGGGGUAAUGGCUACCAUGGCGCGACGGGUAGCCGGCCUGAGAGGGUGGACGGCCACAAUGGGACUGAGAUACGGCCCAGACGCCUACGGGAGGCAGCGGUGGGGAAUAUUGCACAAUGGGCGGAAGCCUGAGGCAGCGACGCCGCGUGGGGAAUGAAGGCCUUCGGGGUGUAAACUCCUUUCGACAGGGACGCGGUACCUGUAGAAGAAGCACCGGCUAACUACGUGCCAGCAGCCGCGGUAAUUC
rnacentral:rRNA from 1 species